GAAUAAUAAAAGGUGACACUAAUAAUCAACUGAAAUGAGACUGUUGCAUCUAGACACAUUAAACAAAAUAUGGGCAAUGUUUGGGCAUUAAACAAAAUAUGGACGAUGUUUGGGCUCUAGAUUCACAGAUUUGACACAGUUAUGUUGGAUGCAUCACAGAAUGCCAUGUUACUGACAUAAAAUUUCUCACGGUGAAAGCAUUUAUGAAUGUACAAACUAUAACAUUUUCCUUUCCAGAUAAAAAUUUUCAGUGAUAGCACAUUCACUAUACCAAGAGAAGACAUGCAAUUGGCACAAUAUUUAGUAGAGAUAAUUCAAUAGAACAAUUUGACUUGGUGCAUAAGCACCAUACAAUGUUAAAUGAAAAAUAUCAUGUUAUUCUAAAUUACAUCAAAUGAGCAAUUUGGCUUAGCGCAUGAGCAACAUGCAACUUAAAUAAAAAAAAUAUC
rnacentral:misc_RNA from 1 species